CAGCGACCACGAAGUUCUCCAUUCUCAUGCUUAAAUCAUUUAACAAGCUUCCAGCACCUAAUUGACGCAUCAACUUAGAAACCUUAUAACCGCCAAACCAUUCUUCUACAACAGCAGUUUCGGCAUCGCGUAACCAUUGUUCAUCUCUUAGGUUGGGAUUGAAGUCGACAUGGCUACCAAUGGCAGCGUUAAUAGUAUCAAGCAAACCACUGAGACGAGGAUGGCUUGAAACAACUCUAACAGGCUGACCAUUCAUGAAUUGACUCAUCAUUUCAGAGGCACGGCCUGCAAGUAAGGGAUCGUAAAGCUUAGCAGCUCGUUCUGCAAAUUCUUCAUAUAGUUGCACAAGUCGAGGACAGUUGUUUUCAUUAGGAAGUAGGUUUUCGUCUGACCAAUUUCUCGUAAAAAUGACAGGUAAACCCAUCUUACGCUUUGACUCAGGAUACAAUCCGGAAAAAACAUGUUCUAAAGACUCCAAGGCUCGCACCAUUGGAGUCGCACGCAUAUAAACAUCAGCGUAGUUAUUCAAUUCAUCAGGUAAGAAUUUCAAUUGUUUGACAUAACGUUCUCGAAGAUACUCACCAAGUGUUCUGGUAGUAACACGCCCAAAAUCAGUCAAUUCACCAUGAAUGCAAACACCACUUGGGGAAUUGUCUGAAGUUGGUGCUGCAAGAGACGUGUCAACUGGUGACUCAACCUUCCUUUCAAAACCCAACACAGACCAUUCCUUUUCCCCUUUAAUUUGCGCAAAAAACCUCCUUGCAUUAUUACAAAGCUUCCAAUCCUUAGGGAUACCGGCGGAACCAAGUCUUUCCUUCACGGGAGCACGUUCACCAUGUCGAAAUAUGACUUGUAAAUAUUUCAGUUGCAGCUGUUUUGGAUAAUCGACUCCGGGAACUGAAUCCGGGAAUUUAACAGAAGCUGAAGACAUUUGAGACAUGGCGGCUAGGAAGUGGUUGAUGAUGCUGGAUAAGAGCUGCUGUCAACUAAGGUCUCAAUGCUUGAACAUCAUCGCAAAGCUCAUAUAAAAUAUGAAUUACUGAAUAUUAACGAAACGACACUAUUUGAAAAU